rnacentral:rRNA from 1 species
AUGAACGCUGGCGGCGUGCUUCACACAUGCAAGUCGAACGGAAAGGCCAGUGCUUGCACUGGUGCUCGAGUGGCGAACGGGUGAGUAACACGUGGGUGAUCUGCCCUGCACUUUGGGAUAAGCCUGGGAAACUGGGUCUAAUACCAGAUAGGACCAUGCUUUGGAUGGUGUGGUGGAAAGUUUUUUCGGUGUGGGAUGAGCUUGCGGCCUAUCAGCUUGUUGGUGGGGUAAUGGCCUACCAAGGCGUCGACGGGUAGCCGGCCUGAGAGGGUGUACGGCCACAUUGGGACUGAGAUACGGCCCAGACUCCUACGGGAGGCAGCAGUGGGGAAUAUUGCACAAUGGGCGCAAGCCUGAUGCAGCGACGCCGCGUGGGGGAUGACGGCCUUCGGGUUGUAAACUCCUUUCGCAACUGACGAAGCUUUUUGUGACGGUAGGUUGAGAAGAAGCACCGGCUAACUACGUG